rnacentral:tRNA from 2 species
GGGCACGUGGUGUAGUUGGUUAUCACGCUCGCUUAGCAGAGUAUUUGCGAGAGGGGUCCGGUUCAAUCCCGGACGUGUCCA